GGUACUGUGAACUGACUGUACGCUUUGUAUGACUGCAUGGUAUGUGAAUAUAUCUCAAUAAAAUUGAAUUAUUGGGGGAAAAAAAUGAGGUAGCUGUGAAAAAGAAUAAAGCCAAGGUGUGCAAACACCAAGCCUUAAUUUAUUGCCAUUUCUUCAUGUUUUUGCUACUUCUUUCUGAACUGAGAAAAAGGACUUGGUUCUGGGGUGGAGACACGUUUCGAGUGCCUGUUCCUGGUCAGGCAAGGAGCUGGGCGACCAAGUCUCCAUGUGAAAGUAUCUCGGCAGAGAGGACAAAGGAUUAUAUAAAGAAAAGAACUGCAGUAAUCUGUGUGGAAUUAAAGGGCUGGUAGGUUCUGUUGUUUUAUAUCUAAUUUCCUUCUUUAAAUACUCAACUAUUAAGACUUCAAGAUAAAUUAUGUUAAUGCUUUUACACCAAAGCCUCAGAAAAUCCUUGUCUGCUACUCCCCCUCACUGGAAGGAAUCGAGGAACCUAAACAGUUACCGAACUCUGGAAAUAAAGUGACAUUUGGCAUGCAAGGAUUGCUACAGAAUUGACAGCAUCUUCAGUCUUUUACGAAAACUAUUCCCUGGACCCAUACUUGAAACACAGAGAGAAUUAACAGCCUCAGCGCUUUUUCUCUGGGUCCUUUCUGCUGAGAACACUCUCCAAGUAGCAGAACUUCUACCAUCAUAGUUCUUGGAGUGCUAAGACUGAAUUUCAGGCCACUGCACACCUGUCUGAAGAAAACUUUGUGUAACUUCUAGGGCAUUUUAUAAGCAUCAUAAUCACUACAAAGAAAACUUUAAUUUCACUCCUGAGAAACAGUUCUUAGAACAUCUGGAAACCCAUUUGAAUUCUGAAGAGUAAAUAUCACUAACUUCACUUUUUACUACACGCUUCAAAAGGAAAAGCCAAACUUCUAAAACACCACCUCUGAGCUGCCGCUGAUGGAGGAGGGUCCCCCUCAGUCCCUCGUGAUGCAGGGAAAACUGAGCAGCACUUAGAGGAAGGGGAUGGUGACAAUUCACAGCUUAUUAGUCAGGACUAAAAAUAACUGGGCUCUCAUUCUCCUAAACACUAAAAAUAGUAUUAGUUUUUAGUAUUUUAACCAAAACUAAAAGCAGUGCCUCCCAAGUGAAUCCUGGAAAAGGAACAUGGGACCCUCCCAGAAGUGGCCUGGCCCAGGGCAUCACCCAGGGGCUUUAGGCCAGAGGAGCUCUGGGAGCCUCAGAAAAGGGCGAAGAAAAGGCUCCCCUCUCUGCACUGAGCACCCUCCCCUCCAGCACCCAGACAUGCCGUAGAGGCUGAUGUGGUGAGAGGGGCACGCGUCAGCCCAGCUGAGUGUGGCCGGAGCAGGACAGAAAAGGGCAGUUAGUGCUCGCAGCGCCUCGUGGAGUCGGGGGAGAGGCCUGGGGUGGCUGCAGAUCUGUGAGGUGAGAUGCUGAGAUGGCUGAGUACGCAUGUCCACUGCUGGGUUCGUGUCCAGAUGUUUGGUCAGGCAAGCACUGGCCUGACUGUUGUGGGGGGCAUUUCGUGGACUUAAAUCAUUAGGCAGUUGAUGGCCUUUGGCUGACGACAUCUACAGUCAACAAAGGUGGUUGCCUUCAUCAGUUAGGGCAGACUCCUCAUCUGAUCAUUUGGAGAGUCUGAGGAUUUCAGCAGCCACAAAGAAUUUUUAUCUCUACUUCAGCCAUUCCACUUCUGGGGAAUUCAUUGUCACCUUCAUCAAGUUCCCACCUUGCAGCCUGCCCUAUGGAAUUCAGACUUGCCAACUGGCAUUCCUGUAAGAAAUCUCUUAAUAUUUACAUAUAUGUAUAUAUAUAUAUAUAUAUAUAUAUCUCCUGUCCGUCCUGUUUCUCUGGAGAACCCUGACUAAAAAAGCCUCAGGCUGGCGAGGGCAGGCAGGGGUGCGGUGGUGUGAGGGCAGGGGCCUGCCCGUUCCCCUCGGACUGAGCAGGCCUGUGGAGCCCCAGGCCCUUCCCGGGAGGGACCCCCAAACCAACGGACACUGGACUUUUCCUGCAGCCGUGGCGAGUAGGGACAUAGAGGUGGAUUUGACUGAAUUUGGGAAAGAUAAAGGAACACAGUGCCUCUCACACCGGCAGUGUGGAACAAGUCACAAAGUCCAAGGCAGAGUAACUGUUUACUAACAAAGCUGCUUUAAUUUGGAAAAUGUUCUAGAAAAUAAAUUAAUGAAGUAGCCUG